UGCAUAUCCAAAUAAGCGGAGGAAAAGAAACCAACAGGGAUUGCCUCAGUAACGGCGAGUGAAGCGGCAAGAGCUCAAAUUUGAAAGCUGGCCCCUUCGGGGUCCGCGUUGUAAUUUGCAGAGGAUGCUUCGGGUGCAGCCCCCGUCUAAGUGCCCUGGAACGGGCCGUCAUAGAGGGUGAGAAUCCCGUCUGGGACGGGGUGUCUGCGUCCGUGUGAAGCUCCUUCGAAGAGUCGAGUUGUUUGGGAAUGCAGCUCUAAAUGGGUGGUAAAUUUCAUCUAAAGCUAAAUACUGGCCGGAGACCGAUAGCGCACAAGUAGAGUGAUCGAAAGAUGAAAAGCACUUUGAAAAGAGAGUUAAACAGCACGUGAAAUUGUUGAAAGGGAAGCGUUUGCGACCAGACUCGCUCGCGGGGUUCAGCCGGCAUUCGUGCCGGUGUACUUCCCCGUGGGCGGGCCAGCGUCGGUUUGGGCGGCCGGUCAAAGGCCCUCGGAAUGUAUCACCUCUCGGGGUGUCUUAUAGCCGAGGGUGCAAUGCGGCCUGCCCGGACCGAGGAACGCGCUUCGGCUCGGACGCUGGCGUAAUGGUCGUAAAUGACCCGUCUUGAACCACGGACCA
rnacentral:rRNA from 1 species